CCAGCUAAGCAGUAGGUUCUUAGGAAAACUGUGUGUCUUGGAGAAUGAAUUUCCAUCAGAGGUAAGUGAUUGGCAUGCUUUUUUCUGUUUUUGAUUAAAAAUAAUUUUAAUAUAAUAUUUUACUAGAUUGUCUGACCAGAAAAGAAAUUACUAAAAAUCAUAGCUAUAGAGGCACUUUAACAAAAUAAAUAUUUAAUACCUGGGACCUAUUUGGUACUUUUCUCUUUGCCCCUUCUUAUUACAAGUACCUGAAUUCUCAUGCUUGAUUGCCAGAUGGGAUCUUGAAGUGUCUGGCCAAGUCCUGUGGGGGUCAGAGCCCUCUGUUGCGGCUGAGCCUUGGACCAGCAGUGAUCAGAAACCUUUCCUGGGGGGAGGCUUUUGUUUGCUUGCAGGAAUGUUUCUGGGCCACCACCCCAGGUAGCCCAUUCACCGUCCUGGCAGGGAGAGCUCAUAAAAGAGGCAGCCUAUUUCACUUUUUUCUUUCCUCCUUAUCAACUGGGACAGUUUGUUUUUCCCUCUGACUCAUAGAUCCGGAAUUUCAGGACUAGAAAGGGGCUCCCCUGCUGUUUUCUUCAAGUGACAAAAAGACAAAGAUAGAGUUUAGCUACCUAUAGUGCAUUUUACUUCAGCAUGAAGAAUACUUAUAAUUGUCUUUUCCAAUCAGACAUUUUCCUAGCCAGUUUGUUUACCUUAUUUUGAUUUUGAGGAGGCCCAUUUCCUACCUUGUUUUCGUUUGUCUUAUUUUUUACUGGUCUUAGCUGGGUCUUUUGUGAGCUGCUAAUUUGCUCUCUGGUCUCUUAGCAACCAGGAACUUUUCCAGCUUGCUGCUGAAUCAGACCUUGGAGUUGCAAAGUUUAUAACAGAACCUGCUGAAGGACAGUAUCUCUCCUAGAGCCAGCAAUUUUAAACCAAUGUUUGAACAAGAAAAUUAACCAGGGUUUCAGGACAUGUACAUUCACAAAGGCAACAACUACAAAACAAAUGUCUGGCUCUCCAGAAUGGUUCCAUUCUCUUCCGCUCCCAGCCCCA
rnacentral:lncRNA from 1 species